GACGAACGCUGGCGGCGUGCCUAAUACAUGCAAGUUGAGCGCUGAAGGUUGGUCCUUGUACCAACUGGCUGAGCAGCGAACGGGUGAGUAACGCGUGGGGAAUCUGCCUUUGAGCGGGGGACAACAUUUGGAAACGAAUGCUAAUACCGCAUAAAAACUUUAAACACAAGUUUUAAGUUUGAAAGAUGCAAUUGCAUCACUCAAAGAUGAUCCCGCGUUGUAUUAGCUAGUUGGUGAGGUAAAGGCUCACCAAGGCGAUGAUACAUAGCCGACCUGAGAGGGUGAUCGGCCACAUUGGGACUGAGACACGGCCCAAACGCCUACGGGAGGCGGCAGUAGGGAAUCUUCGGCAAUGGACGAAAGUCUGACCGAGCAACGCCGCGUGAGUGAAGAAGGUUUUCGGAUCGUAAAACUCUGUUGGUAGAGAAGAACGUUGGUGAGAGUGGAAAGCUCAUCAAGUGACGGUAACUACCCAGAAAGGGACGGCUAACUACGUG
rnacentral:rRNA from 1 species